rnacentral:lncRNA from 1 species
CUCAUCCAUAGCCCCGGCCUGGGGGGUUGGGGGGGGGGUCCCCACUCGAAUAUCGCGAUAUGACGGCAACUAUCGCGAUAUGGCUGCGACUAUCGCGAUAUCCCUGCGCUCUAUCGCGGCGUGGAGGCGCCUGUGACCCGUUGGCGGUGCCCUAUCGCGACAUAAUGGCGCCUUAUCGCAACAUAACGGUGUCUUAUCGCGACAUAACGGUGCCCUAUCGCGACAUAACGGCGCUCUAUCGCGACAUAACAGCGCCCUAUCGCGACAUAAUGGCGCCCUAUCGCGACAUAAUGGCGCCCUAUCGCGACAUAACGGUGCCUUAUCGCGACAUAAUGGCAUCUUAUCGUGACAACGGUGCCUUAUCGCGACAUAACGCCCCCUAUCGCGACAUAACGGCGCCUUAUCGCGACAUAACGGUGCCUUAUCGCGACAACGGCGCCUUAUCACGACAUAAUGGCACCCUAUCGCGACAUAACGGCGCCUUAUCGCGACAUAACAGCGUCCUAUCGCGACAUAACCGCCUUAUCACAACAUAAUGGCGCCCUAUCACGACAUAAUGGUGCCCUAUCGCGACAUAACGGUGCCUUAUCGCGAUAUAAUGGCCCCCUAUCGCGACAUAACGGCCCCCUAUCGCGAAAUAACGGCGCCUUAUCGCGACAUAACGGCCCCCUAUCGUGAUAUAAUGGCGCCCUAUCGUGACAUAACGCCCCCUAUCGCGACAUAACGGCCCCCUAUCGCGACAUAAUGGCGCCCUAUCGCGACAUAACGGCCCCCUAUCACGACAUAAUGGCGCCCUGUCGCGACAUAACGCCCCCUAUCGCGACAUAACGGUGCCUUAUCGCGACAUAACCGCGCUCUAUCGCGAUAUAAUGGCGCCCUAUCGCGACAUAACGCCCCCUAUCGCGAUUCAGCCGCGCUCCGUUAGCAGCAGUCGUCGUCCGUUUCGCUGUAGGGGUCGCGGAGUCUCUGGCGGCCGACGACCCCCCCCGGGAACCCCCGCCCCCCCCGGUCCGUGACGUUCGGCAGCACGCCGGCCCGGCCGCAGGGGGGGGAUGGACCAUAGAACGGGAUUGAGGUGGGGGGGGGGGGCCGCGGUGGUCGGGGUGGGAGGGGGGAGGGUCCCGGAGAUCCGGGGCGGGGUUUCGGUAGACAACGCCGGGAGGAGGAGCCCGGGGGGGCAGAUCGAUUUAGU